GUGCUCGCUUCGGCAGCACAUAUACUAAAAUUGGAACGAUACAGAGAAGAUUAGCAUGGCCCCUGCACAAGGAUGAAAAAUCAUAAUGGAAUCCAUUAUUUU